UUUUUUUCAUAAACAAACCGCUUUUCAGUUUGUGACAGUCGCUGCAGCUCGAGCUGGGGAGUUCGGUCUCGUCUUUGAACAAAAAAAAAAACAACAACAUCGUUUUAAUCAACCGACUUUAAUUAGUGUUUUAUGUGUGGGGUUUUUUUUUUUUUUUUUUUUUGGGGGGGGGGGUUUUUUGGUUAAAGAAAUUUUAAAAUAUUUCAUACACGACUAUAGAUACUUACUAUAAUUAUAAUAAUAUACCGCAAACACACAAACGAACCCGACGCUUCUGUCACCUGAAGGAAACUCGAUAUCAACAAUACAGAUGUAUUUUUUAAUAUAACGACCUGUCUAAUUCACCAUUUUUUUUAUUAUUAUUACUGAAAAAAAAAAAAAAAAACAUUGGCUGUACUUUUUUUUUUAUUUUGACCGAAAGAAAAUUCCGUUUGACCCAAUUUAUUUUACGAGAGAAGAAUUCUGCUUCGCUCAGACAAGACAGCGAUUGAGUUUUGUAAACCGGUUAUUGUUAAAGAAAAUAUCUUCGUUGCAUCAUAACGACAGUCCUGUACAAAGUGCGAUUAAUUUAUUUUUUACCUUUUUUUUUUUUGACCCGGAUCGUUCCUAUUUUUACUGCUUUAUUGUGGAAAAUGGCGGCUGUUGAAAUGGUGCAAAUGCUCCUGGAAGCUGCAGAAUACUUGGAAAGGAGAGAAAGAGAAGCAGAACAUGGGUACGCGUCCAUGUUGCCGUACAAUAGCAGCAGCGUCAAAGAACGAGACAGUGCGAAGCGGAGAAAUAAAUCAAAGAAGAGUUCAAGCAGCAGGUCAACGCACAAUGAAAUGGAGAAAAACAGGUAAGGCUCACUGUUGCAUGUUUUAACAGGUUUCUAGCGGACCCUCUGUGCUGCUGUGU